AAGUCGUAACAAGGUUUCCGUAGGUGAACCUGCGGAAGGAUCAUUAAUGAAAUGAUGUUUUUUGGGGUUUUUAAUCUCAAAAAAUAAUUCACCUUUUGUGCACUGUUAUUAGAUAUACUUUGGUUAGAGCUUUGAUUUCAUUUUUUUGAAAUCAACUUCUGGCUGACUCUAUCCUUACUGAGGACAGUUGGCUAUGAAGCGGCCUACCAAGGUUUUUUAUCAAACACAUUUAAUCCAACUGACCUAAAACAAAAUAAUUAAUAUUAAAUCAUAACUUUCAACAACGGAUCUCUUGGCUCUC
rnacentral:misc_RNA from 1 species